rnacentral:lncRNA from 1 species
UUCUCGGGCAAACACUUUGCCUUUGUUCGGCUAUUCACAGCCACUCGAGCUCUACAGCUCUGCGAGCCUCAACGCUCCGCUUUUGACUUGAUUCCAUCAAGUCUCUUCGAGUUAUCACAACUCAUCGGCUAUUUACAGCCACUUGAGCUCUACAACUCUGUAAGCCCCAGCGCUUCAAUCUCGACUUGAUUUCAUCAAGUCUCUUCGAGUUAUCACAACUGAUCAGCUACUCACAGCCACUCGAGCUUUUUGGUGCAUUUUGUCAAGCCGAAACAGCUUUCAUCUCCC